rnacentral:rRNA from 1 species
AGUGAACGCUGGCGGUAGGCCUAACACAUGCAAGUCGAACGGCAGCACAGUAAGAGCUUGCUCUUACGGGUGGCGAGUGGCGGACGGGUGAGGAAUACAUCGGAAUCUACUUUUUCGUGGGGGAUAACGUAGGGAAACUUACGCUAAUACCGCAUACGACCUACGGGUGAAAGCAGGGGAUCUUCGGACCUUGCGCGAUUGAAUGAGCCGAUGUCGGAUUAGCUAGUUGGCGGGGUAAAGGCCCACCAAGGCGGCGAUCCGUAGCUGGUCUGAGAGGAUGGUCGGCCGCACUGGAACGGGACCACGGACAAGGCGACUACGGGACGCAGCAGUGUGGUAUGUUGGACAGCGGGCGCAAGCCUGGUCCAGCCAUACCGCGUGGGUGAAGAAGGCCUUCGGGUUGUGAAGCCCUUUUGUUGGGAGAGAAAAGCAGCAGGUUAAUACCCCGCUGUUCUGACGGUACCCAAAGAAUAAGCACCGGCUAACUUCGUG